GGUAAACGGCGGCCGUAACUAUAACGGUCCUAAGGUAGCGAAAUUCCUUGUCGGGUAAGUUCCGACCUGCACGAAUGGCGUAAUGAUGGCCAGGCUGUCUCCACCCGAGACUCAGUGAAAUUGAACUCGCUGUGAAGAUGCAGUGUACCCGCGGCAAGACGGAAAGACCCCGUGAACCUUUACUAUAGCUUGACACUGAACAUUGAGCCUUGAUGUGUAGGAUAGGUGGGAGGCUUUGAAGUGUGGACGCCAGUCUGCAUGGAGCCGACCUUGAAAUACCACCCUUUAAUGUUU
rnacentral:rRNA from 1 species